ensembl:lncRNA
UGGCUUCCUGACAGUUUACUUUUCAUAAGACUCUGCGUAAGUUCUGAAAAUUCUCACAUCACCAGAGUGACAGAGAUCCACCUAUUAGUAUCUGAAUAAUAAGUCAUCGACUUUUUUUUUCAAGCUGAAAAUAUCUUUAUUUAAGACAUUUUAUUUGAAAACACUCUGGGUUGUAACUAUCCCAAACAAGCAAUAAAUGCACAUAAAUUAUCUGUGGUAAUGAUUCACUCUUAGGCUACAUUCCUUAGCAACUCUGAACUCAAGAGAAUGAACACAUAUUUCAAGUGUCCGAAUUAAGUAGAAUUACGAAAAACUGGAGAGCAAAAUAUUUUUUUAAAGGAUGAAAAUGUCUAAACCCAUGCAAGGUCAAGCUGAAAUGACCUUUACUUGGGCAGGGUCCUGUGGUCUGUACUCUGCUGCUGCCUUCCUUUCACACGGUGAUGCCACCUAUUCGCCAAGCGGAUUCAGUGUCUGAAUCUAGAAAUGUGGUUCAAGCCAGAAGGUUUUCUGAUCAUGAAAGAAGCAUUUCUCAUCUUGUCUAAACUACACCCUCUUUAAAAAUCAUAACUGUAAAACUUCCUGUAACAUACCCGGAGUUCUGAAUAAAUAAUAGUAAACCAAAGUAACUUUAAAAGUUUAAAUUUUUCCCUUUUAAAGUUUUGCUUUACACAUCAGUCAUGUGGGAUUGAUGUUAACCUUGUGCCUGGUUGCUGGCUACAAGCCUUUCUCUUCCAGGUCACUGAGGAGGGCAGAUAAGUAAGAGUUUAUUUUCAACAUCAACUCUCUCUGCUGCUUGUUCAAGUGAUAUGCAUGUAUGUCCUGGGGCUUCUCUGGUUGGGGCGGGUGAGAGGUAAAACAAGCAGGCUUCUUCCCUUGGGACUCGGGACAAUCUGUAACCCACUGCUGGCCUCAGGCAUGGGGAGGGAUACAGGAUUUCACUUCACCUUCAAGCCAUCCUUCUUCUAGUCCUUGGGGUUUCGUGCGCCUAUUGAUCUUGUAGCUGCCCAGCUGCCCAUUGCAGUGGCGGAUGAGGUCGUCCAUGCUGCUCAUGAGCAGCCCGAGGGUUUCGCAGCCAGGCUCCUUGCCCUCCACCCAGGUGAUCUGGUCGCCCCGGAUGUCCUUGGACGAGUCGCUCUUCUGGCUGACCAGCUGCCCGUCCGUGAACUUGCCGGUGUCGUGCAGCGCGCGUCUCGCGGCCCAGGAAGUCGUCUGUCACGCAGAUGCCGUGCUUGUUCAUGCACGGCACGAUGUACUGGAGCGCCAGCUUCAGCGCGGUCAGCGGCUUCGUCUGCCCGUUGGGCCGCGGUCCCCUGGUGCCGCCGCCAGGGUUCAGCGCCUCCCCGGGGCUCAGCAGGGUGCGCCCGGCGAACACCGGGUGGGGGAGCCUCGAGGUCGCGGCGGCCUCUGCUGGGGCCCCCAGCGGCGUCCCCGGGGACGGACACUGACAUGGGAUCGGCGCCGUCCCCGCGCAGUCCCGCCGUUGUCCGGGCCGCUCCCCCAACCCCAGGAGCCCCUUUGGGCCUGGCCUCGCCGCUCUGGCACACGAGCUUGUGCUUCUUCCAGUCCCGGCGCUGGUGCUCCUUGGAGCAGUAGAAAGAGCUCCGGCAGCGGCCGCAGCACAGCAGGUUCUCUAUCUUCCCGCACAGCUCGUAGUACUGGCGCUUGCGCUCGCUGGCGCUUGGCCCGCUGAGCCCGCCGCUGUCACUCGCCUUGGCAGAGCAGGCCGGGCGGCCGGCCCGGGGCGGCAGAGGGGCCGUUAGAGCGUCCGUCAGAGCGUCAUGCCGGGCCGCGCGCUCCGGAGACCCUCAGCGCCGCAUCGCGGCCCGCACGGUAGACCACAUCAUAGCUAUCAAGAAUACUGAAGGCAUUGAACUUGAACUGGGCCACAUUCUUCUGUGAAAAACGGAGGCUGACAUACGUACUGUCUUUGAUACACCUGAUAGGGGAAAAAAAAUCCAGGCCAAAAAGAUUAACUUAAGGAUUCCAUCUUCGAGUCACACGGAAGAUGCUGAAUCACCCCGCUGCAGACAGGCAGAUCUGCCCACACCCUACCGAGGUCCUGAG